rnacentral:misc_RNA from 1 species
AAGUGAUCUACGCGACCAGC